rnacentral:rRNA from 1 species
UACGGAGGGGGCUAGCGUUGUUCGGAAUUACUGGGCGUAAAGCGCACGUAGGCGGCUUUGCAAGUUAGAGGUGAAAGCCCGGGGCUUAACCUGGGAAUGGCCGUUGAAACUGGCGAACUGGAGUGUGGCAGAGGGGGAUGGAAUUCCGCGUGUAGCAGUGAAAUGCGUAGAUAUGCGGAGGAACACCGAUGGCGAAGGCAAUCCCCUGGGCCUGCACUGACGCUCAUGCACGAAAGCGUGGGGAGCAAACAGG